rnacentral:rRNA from 1 species
GACAGAGGGUGCAAACGUUGUUCGGAAUUACUGGGCGUAAAGCGCGUGUAGGCGGCUUGGCAAGUCGGGUGUGAAAGCCCCGGGCUCAACCUGGGAAGUGCACUCGAAACUGCUUGGCUUGAGUACUGGAGAGGGAAGCGGAAUUCUCGGUGUAGAGGUGAAAUUCGUAGAUAUCGAGAGGAACACCGGUGGCGAAGGCGGCUUCCUGGACUGUUACUGACGCUGAGACGCGAAAGCGUGGGGAGCAAACAGG